rnacentral:rRNA from 1 species
GACGAACGCUGGCGGCGUGCCUAAUACAUGCAAGUCGAACGAGUGGCGGACGGGUGAGUAAUGUCUGGGAAACUGCCCGAUGGAGGGGGAUAACUACUGGAAACGGUAGCUAAUACCGCAUACCAUCGGAUGUGCCCAGAUGGGAUUAGCUUGUAGGUGAGGUAACGGCUCACCUAGGCGACGAUCCCUAGCUGGUCUGAGAGGAUGACCAGCCACAAUGGAACUGAGACACGGUCCAGACUCCUACGGGAGGCAGCAGUGGGGAAUAUUGGACAAUGGGCGCAAGCCUGAUCCAGCCAUACCGCGUGGGUGAAGAAGGCCUUCGGGUUGUAAAGCCCUUUUGUUGGGAAAGCGGUACCCAAAGAAUAAGCACCGGCUAACUUCGUGCCAGCAGCCGCGGUAAUAC